GGGAUUGUGGCUCAGUGGCAGAGCCUUUGCCUCACAAGUAUGAGGCACUGGGUUCGAUCCUCAGCACCA
rnacentral:tRNA from 1 species